rnacentral:rRNA from 1 species
UACGUAGGGGGCAAGCGUUGUCCGGAUUUAUUGGGCGUAAAGAGCGUGUAGGCGGCUUUACAGGUCCGUUGUGAAAACUCGAGGCUCAACCUCGAGACGCCGGUGGAAACCGUAAAGCUAGAGUCCGGAAGAGGAGAGUGGAAUUCCUGGUGUAGCGGUGAAAUGCGCAGAUAUCAGGAAGAACACCCGUGGCGAAGGCGGCUCUCGUGGGACGGUACUGACGCUGAGACGCGAAAGCGUGGGGAGCAAACAGG